rnacentral:rRNA from 1 species
UGAUAUCGAUUUACAUGGAUAACCGUGGUAAUUCUAGAGCUAAUACAUGCUGGUGAGCCCGACUCUUUGGAAGGGCGGUAUUUAUUAGAUAACAAACCAAUAUUGCUUUGCUCUAUUGUGGUGACUCAUAAUAACUGAUCGAAUCGCAAAGCCUUUGGCUGCGAUACAUCAUUCAAGUUUCUGCCCCAUCAGCUUCCGUUGGUAGUGUAUUGGACUACCAUGGCGUUCACGGGUAACGGAGGAUUAGGGUUCGAUUCCGGAGAGGGAGCCUGAGAAACGGCUACCACAUCUAAGGAAGGCAGCAGGCGCGUAAAUUACCCAAUCCUGAUUCAGGGAGGUAGUGACAAGAAAUAACGGACCGAAGCCUUCGGGUUUCGGGACUGCAAUGAGCCGAAUUUACACCCCUUUGUGAGAAUCGAUUGGAGGGCAAGUCUGGUGCCAGCAGCCGCGGUAAUUCCAGCUCCAAUAGCGUAUAUUAAAGUUGUUGCAGUUAAAAAGCUCGUAGUUGGAUUUCUGGGAGGGUGCCAAUGUCCGCUAACGUGCGUGCGCAGCGGCGCCCUUCCAUCCUUCUGUUAACGCUUCAUGGCAUUCAUUUGCUGGUCGCGGGCUCAGAUAUUUUACCUUGAGAAAAUUAGAGUGUUUCAGGCAGGCUAGGCCGGAAUACAUUAGCAUGGAAUAAUGGAACAGGACUGAUGGUCUCUUUGUUGGUUUGAGGGACUGCAGUAAUGAUUAAUAGGGAUAGUUGGGGGCAUUAGUAUUUAAUUGUCAGAGGUGGAAUUCUCAGAUUUGUUAAAGACUAACUUAUGCGAAAGCAUUUGCCAAGGAUGUUUUCAUUAAUCAAGAACGAAAGUUAGGGGAUCAAAGACGAUCAGAUACCGUCCUAGUCUUGACCAUAAACUAUGCCGACUCGGGAUCGGGGGCGAGCACUAUCCGCCCUCGGCACCGUAUGAGAAUCAAAGUCUUUGGGUUCUGGG